rnacentral:lncRNA from 1 species
GGAGUUUGGAGGGAGUGUGUUGGUUCUUUGGUGGACCUUCAUGUAUAGACAUGUCAUUUGGAUCCUGUUCUUGUUGGUGUGUUGACAUGUCUACUCAUGUGUGUGGUUUACUUUUAGUUAAUGCAUGUGUGCUUGCUUAUCUUCUCCAUCUUGUCAUGCAUUACUUAUUUGAGAUGUGCUUUAAAUUCAAAUUGUAUAUCUCUACUUGUUGUGUUGUCAUCUAUCACCAAAAAGGGGGAGAGAGGGAGAGAGGCCUCAAGUGUGGUGUGUGUAGGGAGGGGUUCUCCUCCUCCUUUUACAGGGGUUCAGGGUGGUUCCC